UAUAAAUUUUCCUACUCAUAUUGUAAUUAAUUUUUUCAUUAAAUAAUUUUUAAAUAAUUCAAUAGUUGUUUUAAGUAUUUAUCUUUCUUAGAUUUAAACAUACUACUCAACAUGUAUCAAGAACCAUAGAGUGGGAUUUGAAGAGAUGCUCUCAAUUAUUCCAUUUUUUUCCUUUUCUUUUUCAUUAAUUUUCCUUUUGCAAUUUUGCCGAGAAAAAAUCAGAUUUUUGAGCUUUCAUAUAUGUUAUAUAUCUCUUUCAUUUGCAGCAGUUCCGUAUUCUUUUCUUUUGUCGAAGAUCUUGUAUUCUUGUUGAAGAUAUUAUGGUGGCAAUGCUUGUUCUAGAAAAAUGGUUUUGCUUGUUAAAAGUGGGAGACAUUUCAGUAAUCAAGUAUCUAAUUGUAUUUGAUGUCUUGUCCUAGCCGUCAAAGUUUGAUGGAUUUUAUGCUAUUGAUUAUAUAAUUUUUUAAAGUUUAUUUAAUGAUUGAAGGUGUUUGGAGAUUCAUGUUUGUUCAUUCAAAGUUUCAUUGUUAAUUAAUUAUUAUAUUUUAGUACUAUGUUUUACUAUUAUUUUAAUUUUUUAAUAAUUUUUUAAUAUAUUUUUACUACAUAAUAUUUAUUUAUUUUUGUGCUUCGAUUUUAAAGUAGUAAAAUAAUUAUUAUUCUUAUUCUACUAUAUAUGGUAUUUAGAUAUUUUUUAAUUUUUUUUGUGUUUAUAUUUUAUGGUGGUUAAAUUUUUAACAAAAUUUAACAUUUGAAUAAGUUGAUUCUUGAUUCUAUUGGAUUGAGUGGCAAAGAGAUAAAAAAAGAAAAUAAAUUAAAUGAAAGUAUGUAGGUCAAAAAUUUCCACAAAAAUUAUAUACGUCGAUUGAUAUGAUUUUUUUCAUAUUUUUUUAUUAUUUGAUGUAAUUACGAC
rnacentral:lncRNA from 1 species